rnacentral:rRNA from 1 species
UUGUUCGGAAUUACUGGGCGUAAAGGGCGCGCAGGCGGCCCUUGACGUCAGGCGUGAAAGCCCCGGGCUCAACCUGGGAGGUGCGCUUGAUACUCGAGGGCUUGAGUGCGGGAGAGGAGAGUGGAAUUCCCAGUGUAGAGGUGAAAUUCGUAGAUAUUGGGAAGAACACCGGUGGCGAAGGCGGCUCUCUGGACCGUAACUGACGCUGAGGCGCGAAAGCGUGGGGAGCAAACAGG